UGAGAUCAUGUGAGACCAACCUAUUUUUGUGAGACCCGUGAGACCAACUGUUUACAUUUAAAACUUCACUGUAAAACACUGUGAAAAGUAACUUUUUCACAACAAUAUUUUUGCCAUGAAGGUUCAGAUAUUUUAUUUUCACAGUGUUUUAUAACGAAGUUUCAAGUAUAAAUAUAGGGUUUCACAAGUCUUACGAAAACAUGUUGGUCUCACGUGA
rnacentral:ncRNA from 2 species